rnacentral:rRNA from 1 species
UACGAAGGGGGCUAGCGUUGCUCGGAAUCACUGGGCGUAAAGGGUGCGUAGGCGGGUCUUUAAGUCAGGGGUGAAUCCUGGAGCUCAACUCCAGAACUGCCUUUGAUACUGAGAUCUUGAGUUCGGGAGAGGUGAAGUGGAACUGCGAGUGUAGAGGUGAAAUUCGUAGAUAUUCGCAAGAACACCAGUGGCGAAGGCGGCCCACUGGAUCGGUACUGACGCUGAGGUGCGAAAGCGUGGGGAGCAACAGG